CUUCUCUUUCCUUUACGGCCGCAUCCCGCCUCCGUGCUGCCCGCGCUGCUCCUUGGCAGGAAGCUCCCGGCGUCUCCUUGGGGGUGGAGUAGGCACGGGGGUGGACGGAUGAGCGUUAAUCCCUGGAAAACCGGGGUAGGGGUUCCAAUGAAACCGAAGUUCUUCGGAAAUCUUUUAGUCGUAAUUCCCAGAGCUUUGCCUUCAGGGCUGGGGGUAGAGCGAGGCACAUCGGGUCAAAACGCCUCUGGAGUGAGAUUUAAAGUUCAGAAACGGCAUUCGUGUGGCUUCCCUGGCUGAGCGGUGUUACCCAAAAGCUUUGAACUCGCUGCUCAAUUUCAGCUGGACGUGAACAGGAAGACCAAGAUAUCCCAAAGGAAGCUGUGAUGAGAAGAAUAUUCUUGCUGGGGAAGAGACCUGGAGCAGAUCUCCUUCUGCGUGCAGCUGGCAUCUUUGGGUCACCUCUGCUGGCCUGUUUAGCUCUGCAGUCUGUGGAACAAGCUGCCUGUGAUUUGUGAAAAGCUUUUCUCUCAUUCCUUCAUGCACCAUUUUGAAGUCAAAUGGACUUUAAAUGGAGAGAAUGGAUUGGCAAAAGGAGAGAGAUUUGAGUAAGGUUGAGGUAAAUGAAAGCAAAACUGAAGGUCAGAGCUAAUACACGGAUUUUUCUUGCAUAUUUUACUCAGGAGAGGUUGCUUAUUCCCCUCUGUACUCUGCGAAGAACUCAUCCUAAUGUUUAAUGCUUCAAAAUGAAGCCAUCAUUGUUGCAUUCAGCCUGCAGAAAUGCUGGUUUUUCUCAUGCCUGUGAGCUGGCUGCUGCAGCUCAUGAGAUUAUCUAUCCCAUCUCUUCGCACCGGGACUGUUGAAAUUCAGAGUUGUCCUGGUUAAGGACACCUGGUUAUGGUGAGGUACUCCAAAGCCUUACAUCAUGUUAAUAAAAAUCAGCAGACACUAGGAGAGAGCAUGAGGGAGAGAAAUUGCUUCUGGACAAAUAUUCUGUGAAUGCUUAAGCUGAAGCUACUCCUAAUGCUGCUCUGCCCUGUUUUCUGCAUCACUCUAGAGCUUCUGUCCAUGACCUUUCUCUAAGCCUUUAGUGUCUUGUUUAUGGGGUUGAAAAAGCACUGCGCAUCCAUCCAAGGGUUUUUUGUUGUUUAUAUGCUGCUGACUUCUUAGUGAAACAAGAUCUCUUACUGAGCAUUAGGAAGCUGUACAGGGAAUUAACUUGAAAGUUAGUGAUGUUUUCUAAACUCUAAAUAGUUGACCAUGGGGCCAGGUUGAGGGGAUAGAAACCCAAGUCAAUACUGGUGCUGUGGGGGAAUUGUCAUAUUAAAGACAUCCUGCCUGCCUGCGGAAUGGUUUGAUGUAUUUGAGAUGUGUAGGUGAAUAAGCUGGGAGGGGACUGUGCCCAGGUGGCCCUUGGACAUUUGUUUGGGAAGGGGCUCUUGGCUUCAGUGUGAGCAAGCUCAAGGUUGGCCACGGCUUUGACACUUUGAAAGGAAAUUCUCAGAAUAUAAUAUUUUAUGGAUGAUUUCUGCAGAUUUCUUGCUUGUUUUGGAUUCUCUGUAAUUGAACAAAAAUUAUAGGCUCACAAAAAACAAAUGGAAGAGCACAAAAAUGGCUGCUUAAUACCAGGGCUUGUGUCCAAAGCAUAUGCUAGAAAAUAACAGGUGUUAACAGCAGAAGAAAUAAUGCACUCCUCAGACAGCUCUUAAUAAAUGUAGCAAACAAAAGUUCAUUAAAUAUAAAAUACGAAGCGUUCAGUAUGUUUUGAGGCACCAGUGUCUUCUGUACAAGACAGUUUUUGUUUGUGGAAGCAUUGAUUUUUUUAUUUUUUUUUAUUUUCCCCCCACUGUAUGCAGUCUGGAAUGCAACAGAAUUUGCAGCAGAAGAUCUGGAAAUAAGUAUCUCUGUAAUAACAACUUGAUGCUGCUGUUGUUGAAUUAGGUCUGAAAGACCGAUGUGUCAUAACCAAUGGGUCCCAAGAUGUGUGGAGGUCAGACUCUGAGAGU
rnacentral:lncRNA from 1 species